UUCCGGUUGAUCCUGCCGGACCCGACUGCUAUUUGAAUGGGACUAAGCCAUGUUAGUCGAACGUCUUUUCUCUAUGUGAAGGGCGUGACUGCCCGCUCACUAACACGUUGUCAAUCUACCCUGAAAACAUGGAUAACCCCGGGAAACUGGGAUUAAACCACGAUAAAUCAAGAUUUCUGGAAUGGAUUUUGAUUCAAAGGAAGGAUGAGCAUGUUCAUCUAUUUGCCUCAGGAUGGGACUGCAACCGAUCAGGUUGUUGGGGGAGUAAUAACCCACCCAACCAGUAACCGGUACCGGCUUUGAGAGAACGACCCCGGAGAUGGACACUGAAAAAACAGUCCAGGUCCUACGGGGCGCAGCACGCGCCAAACCUUCUCAAUGCACGAAAGUGCGACGAGGUUAUUUCGAGUGCUCUCCGCUGAGGAUAGCUUUUGUCAGGUGCCAAUAGCCUGGAAAAUAAGGGGAGGGCAGGUCUGGUGUCCGCCGCCGCGGUAUUACCAGCUCCCCGAGAGGACUGGACGAUUAUUGGUGCUAAAGCAUCCGUAACCUGCUUUGCGGGUCUUCUGUUAAAUUCAACGGCUUAUCCGCUGAGCUGCCUGAUAUACCACAAGGCUAGGAAGCGCUAAAGGUCUACAGUACUCCGUGUGUAGUCGUAAAAUCCUCUGAUGCAUGCAAGACCACCAGUGGCGAAAGCGGUCUACCACAGACGCUCGACGGUGAGGCAUGAAAGCUGGGGGAGCGAACCAGAUCAGAUACCCGGGUACUCCCAGCCAUAAACGAUGCUAGCUAGGUGACGAGUGGCUUCGUACCAUUCUAGUGCCACAGUGAAGCCAUUCAGCUAGCCGCCUGGGAAGUACGUCGCAAGACUGAAACAUAAAGGAAUUGACGGGGGAGCGCCACAAGGCGUGAAGUCUGCUGUUCAAUUGGAUUCAACGCCGG
rnacentral:rRNA from 1 species